AAGGAAAAGAUCAACAAACUGGAUACUAAUAACGAUGGUAAAGUGGCCUAUCAGGACUUUGUACAAAGCCAGCUGUUGACGAAAGGAGUCCUCAAGUAGCAGACGACAGUUAGAAAAAAUUUAAUACUUACAAACGACUUAUCUCCGGGUGUGGCUACAUGUGUGCAAUGAAAGAUAUUUUUCGGUGUCAUGGGCAAACGUGUUUAUAUUUACAUUGAAAGAGCUAGGACUCGAAUUUAUGGAGACUUGUGGAAAAGGGGACCAUUUAAGUAUUUUGUCUUUUAUGAUAUUUUUUUAUAUUUUAUUAUCUCUGCCUUGUUUUGAAUUACUUUUAAUAACCAGUAUUUUUGUUUUUAAUAUAUGUUUGCAAGCUUUAUUGAAUAAAACCUCAAUUUGC
rnacentral:misc_RNA from 1 species